UGGGGAAUAUUGCGCAAUGGGGGCAACCCUGACGCAGCCAUGCCGCGUGUGUGAAGAAGGCCUUAGGGUUGUAAAGCACUUUCAAAAGCGAGGAAAAGCUGGCGGUUAAUACCCGUCAGCCCUGACGUUAACUUUAGAAGAAGCACCGGCUAACUCCGUGCCAGCAGCCGCGGUAAUACGGAGGGUGCGAGCGUUAAUCGGAAUUACUGGGCGUAAAGCGCGCGUAGGCGGUUUGUUAAGUCGGAUGUGAAAGCCCCGGGCUCAACCUGGGAACUGCAUUCGAUACUGGCAAGCUAGAGUACGAGAGAGGGAGGUAGAAUUCCACGUGUAGCGGUGAAAUGCGUAGAUAUGUGGAGGAAUACCAGUGGCGAAGGCGGCCUCCUGGCUCGAUACUGACGCUCAUGUGCGAAAGCGUGGGGAGCAAACAGG
rnacentral:rRNA from 1 species